UUGACAUGUGUAUCGCGGUUCCAGAGAUGGUUCCUUCAGUUCGGCUGGAUACAACACAGGUGCUGCAUGGCUGUCGUCAGCUCGUGUCGUGAGAUGUUCGGUUAAGUCCGGCAACGAGCGCAACCCACAUUCUUAGUUGCCAGCAUUCAGUUGGGCACUCUAGGAAAACUGCCGAUGAUAAGUCGGAGGAAGGUGUGGAUGACGUCAAGUCCUCAUGGCCCUUACGGGUUGGGCUACACACGUGCUACAAUGGUAGUGACAAUGGGUUAAUCCCAAAAAGCUAUCUCAGUUCGGAUUGGGGUCUGCAACUCGACCCCAUGAAGUCGGAAUCGCUAGUAAUCGCGUAACAGCAUGACGCGGUGAAUACGUUCCCGGGCCUUGUACACACCGCCCGUCACACCAUGGGAGUUGGGUCUACCCGAAGGCGGUGCGCCAACCAGCAAUGGAGGCAGCCGACCACGGUAGGCUCAGCGACUGGGGUGAAGUCGUAACAAGGUAAGCGUAGUGCU
rnacentral:rRNA from 1 species